rnacentral:tRNA from 1 species
GGGGAUUUAGCUCAGUGGUAGAGCGGUUGCCUAGCAAGCACAAGGCCCUGGGUUCCGUCCCCAGCUCCG